rnacentral:lncRNA from 1 species
UGCAGAUACAUGUCAAACAAUUUAAAAGGAUAUGCAUGCAAAUAUGCCAACAAGCCUUUCCCGUCCCGGAGGCUUCUCCGCCAGUCUCCGCCUUUGCUGCCGCCAGCGCCCAGCCGUGCGCCCAGCCACACGUCGCUUGCACACCAUGCACCCGCCCAACCCACCAUCGGUGACGCGCAGGCCGUUCUUGAACACGGCCUCGAUGCUGACCUUGGCCUAGUCACACAGGUCCACCUUCACCUCCUUCACCACCACCACCGCCGGCGCCGCCUGAAAUAGACAGGUCCGUCUUUACAUAGACAGGGCAUGCCGGCAUGCUCAUGAAAUGCUUGCAUGUACACCAGGCUACAUAAUGUGGGUAUGCUUAAGUCCCAAGUGCGCUUGCCCUGGUUGUGCCUGCUUGCCCUGGGCCAGGGGUUCCCCUGCCCUGGGCCACCAAUAAUGACGAGUGUUGCGGAACUAAUGCCACCAGUUGCGGCGUGCAUGUGCGUAGCGGAGGGAGCGAGCACAUGGGGCGAGCAAGGCCACGUGGAGGAGGACAGCACGGCGUCGCCCAAGAAGCGGCGCCGGCGCGCAGGUUGAGGCCGGCCGGUGUCUGGUUAGCGGUCUUUGCUGGCAAGCAUAGCACAGUAUGCGGUAGGCCGUAGGAGUGAGGAGUGUUGCGGCCAGAGGAUUUUGUUCAUUUGG